rnacentral:lncRNA from 1 species
UUGAUAUAAUAAUUUUUUUAGUAAUGAAAAUAAAAAUAUUUCAUAUAUUAAUACAAAGUUUGGUUUUCGUGAUAAAUAAUUUGUUUUCUUUAAAAACAUCUUAAAUUAACAAUUUAAAUUUUAGAAUCAUAUUUUAUUAGAAAAAUAGAAGAAUGGUAUUCAAAAUUUAAAGUAUGAUGAAAUUUAAUAUUAGCUUAUUAUUCAUUUAUUUAUUUAAUUAAUAUAAGAUAAGUUUGGAAGUGAGGCGAGAAAAUCAUAAAAUAAAUGCUUACAAUGAAUGAUAGGUGUUGCACAUUAAUGUUUUGUUAUAUAGUAUAGUAUAAAAAAUACAUUUAUAUUGAUAUAAAUUGAUUAUUAUAUUGUAGUAAAAUUUGUUAACAAAGUCUCGAUAAAUUUAACCAUUUAUUUAAAACUUGUAAAUGUAACCAAGUCUCAAAAAAGUUAACCAUUUAUUUAAAACUUGUAAAUGUAGAAAUGAUAAAUAAUAUUAGUUAAUUUUAUUUUAAGUUUCGUAAAAUCUAUUUGAUACCAAACUAAACAAAACAUUCAGUAAAAGUGAUAUAACCACAUGGGCCAAAAUCGUAAUUUACUCUAAUAUCAAAUUAGAUAACUAAGUUUGAAUUUGAAGUAAAUAGAUAAAUAUAAAAGUAAUAAUCAAACUAAAUAAUAUUUAGUGGGAGGAUUAUCUAUAAUUAAUUAGAAGAGAUUAAAUUAAAAUUAUAAUUAUCCAUAAGACAUGGCCUAAUAUGAUGACAAGUGUUCUCAAAGUGGUUUCUUUUAUUAUAUGUAUAGAUUAUGAUAAAUGUAGUUAUUAUUCUUCUUACAUUUUAAACAUAUCUUAAAUUUUUAAUUUAAAUUAAAUAAUAAUUAUCUACAAUUAAGGAAUUAAGAUAUAAUUUCUAACCUAGUUUUUUUCUUUUUUUGAACGUCCAACAAACUCAAUCCCGGGCACUCUCGGGGCACCCACUGGACAAACGAAGUACUCCGAGAGUAACCCGAGUCCACCACCAAUUCUGGGGAAAACCCGGUAACCCACCCGCCCAUAGGCACAACAGUGAAAUUACCGGUAAAACUCGUUUGGCUCAAGGAUCUAACCCAGGUUUCCCUGGGUCUCUUAUCAUUGUCCACCAGUGCCUGCCUCACUCUGUACCAAGUGGGAGUCGAACCUGCAUAUCUCAAGAGAAAUGCAAGCCCUCCACCACUUAAUCUAGAGAUCAUUGACAAUUUCUAACCUAGUAAUUAAUAUAAAUAAAUAAUACGAUAUUUUAUGGAACUUUAUCCGUAAUUUCUUGAAUGUUUGAAACAUAUUAAAUUUAAUAAUUUAAAGUAAAUAAUAAUUAUAUACAAUUAAUGAUGGUUUAAAAUAAUGACAAGUGUCCUUCUAUUGUUUUUUUUAUUAUAUAGUAUAUAAAUAUAAAUAAAUAAAAAUAUAGAUAGAUGGUGGAGCCCCAUCAACAAAUCCUAAAAAAUAAGAAUAUCCAAUUAAGAGAUGAGGUUAAUAUUUACUAA